rnacentral:rRNA from 1 species
GCCUAUAAUCUAGCCCCACCAAAUCCACAUGAAAUCACCCCCCACUAAUACUUAAACUAAAACAUUUUAACAAUUUAGUAAAGGAGAUCAAAAAAUUUUAACGGAGCUAUACAAAUAGUACCGCAAGGGAAAGAUGAAACAAAAAUGAAAUAUCUAAAGCACAAAAAAGUAAAGAUUCUCUCUUGUACCUUUUGCAUCAUGGUUUAACCAGUUAAAUCUAGCAAAAUGACCUUUAGUUUGACCCCCCGAAACUAAACGAGCUACUUCAGGGCAGCUUACUGAGCAAACCCAUCUCUGUUGCAAAAGAGUGGGAAGACCUUAAAGUAGAGGUGAUAGACCUAACGAGUUUAGUGAUAGCUGGUUACUCAAGAAAAGAAUUUUAGUUCAACCUAAAGUUAAAAAAUAUCACAAAAUAUUGAACUUAACUUUAAAGCAAUUCAAAUAAGGUACAGCCUAUUUGAAACAGGACACAACCUAAACUAACGGGUAAACAAUUUAAUUUAUAUAACCAAGUAGACCUAAGAGCAGCCACCUUUAAAAUGGCGUCAAAGCCUAAUUAUAAAAAUGCCUAAUACCCCAUCUAUUAUUUAUCCCUUUAACAGUACUGAGUAAUUCUAUAUUACUAUAGAACUUUUCAUGUUAAAACUAGUAACAAGAAGAAACCCCUUCUCUUUUAAUGUACAUGUAGGUCAGACAGGACACACCACUGACACUUAACACCUUUGAGCACAAAAUAGUAACUACUCCAAGCAAACUCUAUUUUAAUACUGUGUUAACCUAACACAAGAACAUUUCAAGAAAGAUUUAAAGAAAAAGAAGGAACUCGGCAAAUAUUAACCCCGCCUGUUUACCAAAAACAUCGCCUCUUGAGCCCAUAAGAGGUCUAGCCUGCCCAGUGACUCUGUUCAACGGCCGCGGUAUUCUAACCGUGCAAAGGUAGCGUAAUCACUUGUUCUUUAAAUAAGGACUAGUAUGAAAGGCACCACGAGGGUUACACUGUCUCCUCUUUCUAAUCAGUGAAACUAAUCUCCCCGUGAAGAAGCGGGGAUCUAUAUAUAAGACGAGAAGACCCUAUGGAGCUUUAAAUUAUGAUAACAAUUGCUACAUAUCUUUAAUUCCAGAAAAUUAACCCACUACCUUAGCACUAUGAUUAUUAAUUUUAGGUUGGGGUGACCGCGGAGCAUAAAAUAACCUCCACAUUGAAAUAGAACCUAAAUUCUAAGCAAGAAAUCACAACUUUAUGCAUCAAUAAAUUGACAUCAAUUGACCCAAUAUUUUGACCAACGAACCAAGUUACCCUAGGGAUAACAGCGCAAUCCACUUCAAGAGCUCAUAUCGACAAGUGGGUUUACGACCUCGAUGUUGGAUCAGGGUAUCCUAGUGGUGCAGCCGCUACUAAAGGUUCGUUUGUUCAACGAUUAAAACCCU